GUACACUCCUACGGGAGGCAGCAGUGAGGAAUAUUGGACAAUGGGUGGAAGCCUGAUCCAGCCAUCCCGCGUGCAGGAAGACGGCCCUAUGGGUUGUAAACUGCUUUUAUCUGGGGAUAAACCUACUUACGUGUAAGUAGCUGAAGGUACCAGAAGAAUAAGCACCGGCUAACUCCGUGCCAGCAGCCGCGGUAAUACGGAGGGUGCAAGCGUUAUCCGGAUUUAUUGGGUUUAAAGGGUCCGUAGGCGGACUGAUAAGUCAGUGGUGAAAUCCGACAGCUUAACUGUCGAACUGCCAUUGAUACUGUUAGUCUUGAGUAAGGUUGAAGUGGCUGGAAUAAGUAGUGUAGCGGUGAAAUGCAUAGAUAUUACUUAGAACACCAAUUGCGAAGGCAGGUCACUAAGUCUUAACUGACGCUGAUGGACGAAAGCGUGGGGAGCGAACAGGAUUAGAAACCCCUGUAGUCCCAUGA
rnacentral:rRNA from 1 species